rnacentral:sRNA from 1 species
UUUGACCGGGUCGUGGCAGCCGGAGUCGUCUUCGGGACGCGCCUGCUCUUCGCCUUUCGCUGCAGUCCGUCGAUUUCUUUCUCCAGGAAGAAAAAUGGCAUCCGUUGCAGUUGAUCCACAACCGAGUGUGGUGACUCGGGUGGUCAACCUGCCCUUGGUGAGCUCCACGUAUGACCUCAUGUCCUCAGCCUAUCUCAAUACAAAGGACCAGUAUCCCUACCUGAAGUCUGUGUGUGAGAUGGCAGAGAACGGUGUGAAGACCAUCACCUCCGUGGCCAUGACCAGUGCUCUGCCCAUCAUCCAGAAGCUAGAGCCGCAAAGUGAGUUCUGAUUUUUCAAGAUGCAAGUCAAGGGACUGGUCAGUGGCGAGCCCCUGAGCUCACAGCAGUAACAUCUGGAACUCCUCAGCCCUUCCUGGGGCAUACACUGCCUUUACCUAGAAACUUUCAGGUGACCCUCAUUACCGUAAGAGGACUGUUUCUUUUCUUUUCUUUCCUUUUUUUUUUUGAGAUGGAGUCUCACUCUAUCACUCAGGCUGGAGUUCAGUGGCGCAAUCUUGGCUCACUGCAACCUCUGUCUGCUGGGUUCAAGUGAUUCUCCUGCCUCAGCCUCCCGAGUAGCUGGGACUACAGGCUCCCACCACCAUGCCCAGCUAAUUUUUGUAUUUUUAGUAGAGACGCGGUUUCACAAUAUUGGCCAGGCUUAACUCCUGACUUUGUGAUCCACCCACCUCUGCCUCCCAAAGUGCUGGGAUUACAGGCGUGAGCCACCGCGCCUGUCCACAGAAGGCCUGUUUC